UAUGCACGCUGGCGGCGUGCCUAAUACAUGCAAGUCGAGCGAACGGACGAGAAGCUUGCUUCUCUGAUGUUAGCGGCGGACGGGUGAGUAACACGUGGAUAACCUACCUAUAAGACUGGGAUAACUUCGGGAAACCGGAACUAAUACCGGAUGAUAUUUUGAACCGCAUGGUUCAAAAGUGAAAGACGGUCUUGCUGUCACUUAUAGAUGGAUCCGCGCUGCAUUAGCUAGUUGGUAAGGUAACGGCUUACCAAGGCAACGAUGCAUAGCCGACCUGAGAGGGUGAUCGGCCACACUGGAACUGAGACACGGUCCAGACUCCUACGGGAGGCAGCAGUAGGGAAUCUUCCGCAAUGGGCGAAAGCCUGACGGAGCAACGCCGCGUGAGUGAUGAAGGUCUUCGGAUCGUAAAACUCUGUUAUUAGGGAAGAACAUAUGUGUAAGUAACUGUGCACAUCUUGACGGUACCUAAUCAGAAAGCCACGGCUAACUACGUG
rnacentral:rRNA from 1 species